UACAUAUCAAGAUCCUUCAGCAUUUUGCUGCUGUUUAUGGAUUAGUUGUCUGUUUUGUGAGUGAAGUGCACAGUCCCUGGAGAGAACAGAAGUAAUGAUCUUUGUACAAUAUGUUUCACUGGAAACUUGAGGAAGAAGGAGCAACCACCAAAAAAGAGAUGCUGUUUUGUGGAAGAUGGAUGCACAAGGAGAGCAGGAUUGUGCAUUGGAGUUCCCUGAAUGGAUCUCUGAAUUUCUAAGUCUUCCCUGA